rnacentral:rRNA from 1 species
AGCAGCCGCGGUAAUUCCAGCUCCAAUAGCGUAUAUUAAAGUUGUUGCAGUUAAAAAGCUCGUAGUUGAAUUUCGGGGUUAGUAGGUUGGUCGUGCCACUGGUAUGCACUGGUCUCACUGAUUCCUCCUUCCUGAUGAACCGUAAUGCCAUUAAUUUGGUGUUGCGGGGAAUCUGGACUGUUACUUUGAAAAAUUAGAGUGUUUAAAGCAGGCUAACGCUUGAAUACAUUAGCAUGGAAUAAUGGAAUAGGACGAUCGAUCCUAUUUUGUUGGUUUCUAGGAUUGACGUAAUGAUUAAUAGGGAUAGUUGGGGGCAUUAGUAUUCAAUUGUCAGAGGUGAAAUUCUUGGAUUUAUUGAAGACUAACUACUGACGAAAGCAUUUGACCAA